GCCGCCUCUGAAUUUCUCUCGUCUCUCAAAUCCUCUCUACACCACCCUCAAACCCUAGCUGCUUCCAUCCCACUUUGCCCUAACUUAUAGCUUUCCAAGGUCAUCAAAGACUUAUGUCGUCCUUCCAUGGAUCCUUUGUGUUUUUUCUUAUGGUUUCAAGGCCAGACCAUGAAGAAAUCUGGUCCAUCCUUUGUUCGAUGUUAGCUCAUGGCUGUUCUCUGGUCAUAUUUGGCGUUCUCCAGCCAGCUAUGACCAUUCGAGUCAGAUCUUUGACUCUCUUGGUUAUAUUGAUAGCUUUCAAGGCCUUCUCAUUGUUUUUGGUUCUUCUGGG
rnacentral:lncRNA from 1 species